GUGAAGCGGCAAAAGCUCAAAUUUGAAAUCUAGCACCUUCGGUGUUCGAGUUGUAAUUUGAAGAUGGUAACCUUGGGUUUGGCUCUUGUCUAUGUUCCUUGGAACAGGACGUCAUAGAGGGUGAGAAUCCCGUCUGAUGAGAUGCCCAUUCCUAUGUAAGGUGCUAUCGAAGAGUCGAGUUGUUUGGGAAUGCAGCUCUAAGUGGGUGGUAAAUUCCAUCUAAAGCUAAAUAUUGGCGAGAGACCGAUAGCGAACAAGUACAGUGAUGGAAAGAUGAAAAGAACUUUGAAAAGAGAGUGAAAAAGUACGUGAAAUUGUUGAAAGGGAAGGGCAUUAGAUCAGACUUGGUGUUUUACGAUUAUCUUCUCUUCUUGAGUUGUGCACUCGUAUUUCACUGGGCCAGCAUCGAUUCGGAUGGCAAGAUAAUGGCAGUUGAAUGUGGCUUCACUUCGGUGGAGUGUUAUAGCUUCUGCUGAUAUUGCCUGUCUGGAUCGAGGGCUGCGUCUUGACUAGAUGCUGCA
rnacentral:rRNA from 1 species